UACGUAGGGUGCGAGCGUUAAUCGGAAUUACUGGGCGUAAAGGGUGCGCAGGCGGAUGAUUAAGUUAGAAGUGAAAUGCCCGGGCUCAACCUGGGAACUGCUUUUAAGACUGGUCGUCUAGAGUUUGUCAGAGGGGGGUGGAAUUCCAAGUGUAGCAGUGAAAUGCGUAGAGAUUUGGAGGAACACCAAUGGCGAAGGCGGCCCCCUGGGAUAAAACUGACGCUCAUGCACGAAAGCGUGGGUAGCAAACAGG
rnacentral:rRNA from 1 species